UACGGAGGGUGCAAGCGUUAUCCGGAUUCACUGGGGUUAAAGGGGGCGUAGGUGGGUAAGUAAGUCAGUGGUGAAAUCUCCGGGCUUAACCCGGAAACUGCCAUUGAUACUAUUUGUCUUGAAUACUGUGGAGGUCAGCGGAAUAUGUCAUGUAGCGGUGAAAUGCUUAGAUAUGACAUAGAACACCAAUUGCGAAGGCAGCUGGCUACACAAAUAUUGACACUGAGGCACGAAAGCGUGGGGAUCAAACAGG
rnacentral:rRNA from 1 species